rnacentral:rRNA from 1 species
AUACGGAGGGUGCAAGCGUUGUUCGGAAUUACUGGGCGUAAAGCGCGCGUAGGCGGUCUGUUAUGUCAGAUGUGAAAGUCCUUGGCUCAACCGGGGAAGUGCAUUUGAAACUGGCAGACUUGAGUACUGGAGGGGGUGGUGGAAUUCCCGGUGUAGAGGUGAAAUUCGUAGAUAUCCGGAGGAAUACCGGUGGCGAAGGCGACCACCUGGCCAGAUACUGACGCUGAGGUGCGAAAGCGUGGGGAGCAAACAGGAUUAGAAACCCCGGUAGUCC